UACGGGGGGGAGCAAGCGUUGUUCGGAUUUACUGGGCGUAAAGCGCACGUAGGCGGUUCGUUAAGUCAGAUGUGAAAGCCCCGGGCUCAACUCGGGAAGUGCAUUUGAAACUGGCGAGCUUGAAUAUGGAAGAGGGUCGCGGAAUUCCCGGUGUAGAGGUGAAAUUCGUAGAUAUCGGGGAGGAACACCGGUGGCGAAGGCGGCCCCCUGGUUGGAUAGCUGACGCUGAGACGCGAAAGCGUGGGGAGCAAACAGG
rnacentral:rRNA from 1 species